UUAGUAGGCGGUGGAAGAUAACCCAAAAGGGAUUCCUUCAGUAAUGGCGAAUGAACGGGGAAAAGCUCAGCAAAGAAAUCGAGGACUCCGGCCUUGAGUUGUGGACUUGAGAGGUAUCGCCAAUGGUGGCACAGGUGGGGGCCUCUUGGAAAAGGGCACCACAGAGGGUGUGAGUCCUGUUUGCCAUCUGUAGUCCGCCGUGUACGGCAUGCCUCCUCAGAGUCACGUUCCUUGGAAUUGGAGCGCGAAGGUGGUGGUGGCUUUCAUCUCAAGCUAAGUAUGGGUUCGAGACCGAUAGCAAACAAGUACCAUGAGGGAAAAUUGAAAAGAGCUUUGGAAAGAGAGUUAAAAGUGCCCGAACUUGCUGAUAGGGAAGCGAAGGGAGCUGACGUUGCUUGGUAACAUCUUCUGCGCAAGACUAGGAUGGGUUCUGAUUGCAAUGUGUGUAGUGUUUCUUGCCGUGCGUGUCGAUGCCAAGCAAUGAGUGGAGAGAGCUCCAGGGAUAUGAUUGUUUCUGUCCCCGGGUAGACGAAGGUGCCUGGUUGCAUCCAUUCGUGGGCUGAAAAAUUGGUGGCUGGUUGCAGCAUUCCCUUGCCAAUUAAUGCAAUUGGAGUGUAGCCCUGACAUGCAGACGAG
rnacentral:rRNA from 1 species